rnacentral:tRNA from 1 species
CGGGAUGUGGCGAAGCUUGGUAUCGCGCUUGGUUUGGGACCAAGAGAACGUCGGUUCGAAUCCGGCCAUCCCGA